rnacentral:lncRNA from 1 species
GUCUGGUGUACUGGUAAUAUCUGGACUGGUUUAAUGGCUUGUUUCAUGGGAGAAGCGCUAAACUUUACCUCAACAUUUAUGUAAAGUUAAAGCUGCACAGAUUCUGAGUCUUGAAAGUUUAUUUCAAAGAAAAGACAAUGCCUGUGCCACAUAUUUGACUUGGUUUUAUAAAUAUUACGAAGCUCCAGGAAAUAUGAGCAGGAUCUCAAAUAUAUUCAACAAGGAGACACACGUUGAAGUAUUUUGCGGUGAAAUGUUAUGAUGUCUGCAAGGAACUCUCAAAUGGUUGAAGAAAAAUGUGUAUGUCAGAUAAAGAGGGAAGAGAGAAAGGGAGGAAGUACUGAACAUUUGAAGAGAGGAAGAGAUGAUAUGAAAUACUUAUAUACACUAAGUUGACUUGGAAAAUCUGUAUACGGAUGGUACCCACUUCCUUAAACAAAGUUCUACAUAAUUAUAAAGAUGAAAGAAACCCUAAAACUCACCAAGUCUAAUCCAGUUAUUUUAUAGGCAAAAACAUAGAGACUUGGAUAUUCUUUUUAAUUGAUAGGUUCAGAGUAGGGAAACAGAUAAUGUGGAGAAAAUAAGCAUGGUUUAAUGGCCAAAUAUAAAAACAGUACCAAUAAUAUAAACCAUUUAUUGGAAUCCUCCUACAUGGCAGUACUAUGCUAAGAACCUUGUAUACCUUAUCUCCUGUACUGAAAACUAACUAUAGAAAACUAUAUAAAGGUCUGCAUUUGUCCUCCAUUUUCCAUAUGAAUAAAAGAAGCUCAAAAAGUUUAGAUA